UUCCGGUUGAUCCCGCCGGACCCCACUGCUAUCGGGAUAGGACUAAGACAUGCUAGUCAAGCGCUUUCUAGCUAAUGUGAGAGCGCGGCGUACAGCUCAGUAACACGUGGCCAACCUGCCCUUGGGACGGGAACACCCCCGGGAAACUGGGGUUAAUUCCCGAUAGGUGAAGAAGUCUGGAAUGAAUCUUCGCUCAAAAGACGUUUAUGUCAUGCUCAUAUUCGUCGCCCAGGGAUGGGGCCGCGACCGAUCAGGUAGUUGGUGAGGCAAUGGCUCACCAAGCCUUUUACCGGUGCGGGCCGUGAGAGCGGGAGCCCGGAGAUGGGCACUGAGACAAGGGCCCAGGCCCCACGGGGCGCAGCAGUCGCGAAAACUUUGCAAUACACGAAAGUGUGACAGGGCUAUCCCGAGUGCCAUCCGCUGAGGAAGGCUUUUACCCAGUAUAAAUAGCUGGGAGAAUAAGGAGAGGGCAAGUCUGGUGUCAGCCGCCGCGGUAAUACCAGCUCUCCGAGUAGUGUGGACGUUUAUUGGGCCUAAAGCAUCCGUAGCUUGCUAGAUAAGUCCUCUGUUAAAUCCACCGAUUCAAUCGUUGGAUUGCGGGGGAUACUGUUUGGCUAGGGGACGGGAGAGGUCGACGGUAUUUCCGGGGUAGGGGUGAAAUCCUAUAAUCCCGGGAAGACCACCAGUGGCGAAGGCUGUCGACUAGAACGCGCCCGACGGUGAGGGAUGAAAGCUGGGGGAGCGAACCGGAUUAGAUACCCGGGUAGUCCCAGCUGUAAACGAUGCAGGCUAGGUGUUUGGGCGGCCACGAGCCGCCCUAGUGCCGCAGGG
rnacentral:rRNA from 1 species